rnacentral:misc_RNA from 1 species
GAUGAAGAACGCAGCGAAAUGCGAUACUUGGUGUGAAUUGCAGAAUCCCGUGAACCAUCGAGUCUUUGAACGCAAGUUGCGCCUCAAGCCAUUAGGUUGAGGGCACGUCUGCCUGGGCGUCACAUAUCGUUGCCUGAUGCCAGUUUCCUCGUGAUGGGUGACUGUGCAGGGCGAAUGAUGGCUUCCCGUGAGCAUUGUUGCCUCAUGGUUGGUUGAAAAUUGAGUCCUUGGUAGGGAGCGCCGUGAUAGAUGGUGGUUGAGUGACGAACGAGACCCAAUCAUGUGAGACCCCUACCGAAUUUGGCCUUCAUGACCCACAUGCGUCUUUGGAACGCUCAUGACGAGACCUCAGGUCAGGCGGGGCUACCCGCUGAGUUUAAGCAUAUCAAUAAGGGAGGA